rnacentral:rRNA from 1 species
UACGAAGGGGGCUAGCGUUGUUCGGAAUUACUGGGCGUAAAGCGUGCGCAGGCGGCUUCUCAAGUGCAGGGGUGAAAGCCCAGAGCUCAACUCUGGAAUUGCCUUUGAGACUGAGUGGCUUGAGUACGAGAGAGGUGAGUGGAAUUCCCAGUGUAGAGGUGAAAUUCGUAGAUAUUGGGAAGAACACCGGUGGCGAAGGCGGCUCACUGGCUCGUAACUGACGCUCAUGCACGACAGCGUGGGGAUCAAACAGG